rnacentral:rRNA from 2 species
CUGGCUCAGAUUGAACGCUGGCGGCAGGCCUAACACAUGCAAGUCGAGCGGAUGAAGAGAGCUUGCUCUCUGAUUCAGCGGCGGACGGGUGAGUAAUGCCUAGGAAUCUGCCUGAUAGUGGGGGACAACGUUUCGAAAGGAACGCUAAUACCGCAUACGUCCUACGGGAGAAAGCAGGGGACCUUCGGGCCUUGCGCUAUCAGAUGAGCCUAGGUCGGAUUAGCUAGUUGGUGAGGUAACGGCUCACCAAGGCGACGAUCCGUAACUGGUCUGAGAGGAUGAUCAGUCACACUGGAACUGAGACACGGUCCAGACUCCUACGGGAGGCAGCAGUGGGGAAUAUUGGACAAUGGGCGAAAGCCUGAUCCAGCCAUGCCGCGUGUGUGAAGAAGGUCUUCGGAUUGUAAAGCACUUUAAGUUGGGAGGAAGGGCAUUAACCUAAUACGUUAGUGUUUUGACGUUACCGACAGAAUAAGCACCGGCUAACUUCGUGCCAGCAGCCGCGGUAAUACGAAGGGUGCAAGCGUUAAUCGGAAUUACUGGGCGUAAAGCGCGCGUAGGUGGUUUGUUAAGUUGAAUGUGAAAGCCCCGGGCUCAACCUGGGAACUGCAUCCAAAACUGGCAAGCUAGAGUAUGGCAGAGGGUGGUGGAAUUUCCUGUGUAGCGGUGAAAUGCGUAGAUAUAGGAAGGAACACCAGUGGCGAAGGCGACCACCUGGGCUAAUACUGACACUGAGGUGCGAAAGCGUGGGGAGCAAACAGGAUUAGAUACCCUGGUAGUCCACGCCGUAAACGAUGUCGACUAGCCGUUGGGAUCCUUGAGAUCUUAGUGGCGCAGCUAACGCAUUAAGUCGACCGCCUGGGAGU